rnacentral:rRNA from 1 species
UACGUAGGAGGCAAGCGUUGUCCGGAAUCACUGGGCGUAAAGAGCGUGUAGGCGGUCUGCCAAGUCUGUUGUGAAAGCGCCUGGCUUAACUGGGCGAGGUCGACGGAAACUGGCAAACUGGGAGGCCGGUAGAGGAGGGUGGAAUUCCCGGUGUAGUGGUGAAAUGCGUAGAGAUCGGGAGGAACACCAGUGGCGAAGGCGGCCCUCUCGGGCCGGGCCUGACGCUGAGACGCGAGGGCGUGGGGAGCGAACGGG